GGAAAGUAAAAGUCGUAACAAGGUCUCCGUUGGUGAACCAGCGGAGGGAUCAUUACCGAGUGCAAACUCAUAACCCUUUGUGAACCUAUAUCUGUUGCUUCGGCGGCUCGCUCUCGGGCGAGCCCGCCGGUAAUAUCAGUAUCUCUGUUUGAACCCGACGAUACUUCUGAGUGUUCUUAGCGAACAGUUAAAACUUUUAACAACGGAUCUCUUGGCUCUA
rnacentral:misc_RNA from 1 species